AGAGAGAGAGAGAUAGAGAGAGAGUGAGAGAGAGCAAUGGAGGGCAAGGAAGAGGAUGUUAGACUAGGAGCAAACAAAUUCACAGAGAGACAACCCAUAGGGACAUCAGCCCAGACUGAUAAGGACUACAAGGAGCCACCACCUGCUCCCUUGUUUGAGCCAGGUGAGCUUAGCUCAUGGUCCUUCUACAGGGCUGGGAUUGCCGAGUUCAUCGCUACUUUCUUGUUCCUCUACAUCACUGUCUUGACUGUCAUGGGUUUCUCCAAGCCAAAUAACAAGUGCACCACAGUGGGUACCCAAGGUAUUGCUUGGGCCUUUGGUGGUAUGAUCUUUGCCCUUGUCUACUGCACUGCUGGUAUCUCAGGUAAAUCUUUAGUUUUGUUUCACAUCUGCUCUGGUUCCUCCUUCCCCCAUCAGUUUUGCUGUUUAAUUUUGAGCUAAAACUUUUGUGGGUAAAAGGAUUUGCAUCUUUGUGUGAAAAUUAGCCAUCUUUUUUCUUUUACUGGUUAUUUUCUUACGAGAGCUUUCUUUAUAAAACCAAUUACUUCUUAUAAUAGUUUACACCACUCCAUCUACUAUGAUCAGGAACCUUACUAACCAGAUCUACAUGUUUGCUGCAACAACAGGUGGACAUAUCAACCCAGCAGUGACCUUUGGUCUGUUUCUGGCAAGGAAGCUCUCCUUGACAAGGGCUUUGUUCUACAUGAUCAUGCAAUGCCUUGGUGCCAUCUGUGGUGCUGGGGUGGUAAAAGGUUUUGAGGGAAACCGUGCAUAUGAGACUUUGGGUGGUGGAGCCAACGUUGUGGCCCAUGGCUACACUAAGGGUGAUGGUCUUGGUGCUGAGAUUGUUGGCACCUUUGUUCUUGUCUACACUGUCUUCUCUGCCACCGAUGCAAAGAGGAACGCCAGAGAUUCUCAUGUCCCUGUAUGUAUUCUUUUUUAUUCUCCUCUUAUAUUUGGCUUUUAUAAUUAUAUUCUGUGGCGGCUUGAUUCUUUGUGGUAUAUGUGUCUGAUAAUUUUAGUAUAAAUUAUGUGGUUAAAUGCAUUACUAGCAGAAAUUAUUCUUAGUUAUCUGAUUGCUUGAUUCUCCAAAUUCUAGGCUCUGCAACAUUUGUGUGAUUCUUAAUUGCUGAAGUAAACUCAGACAAUUGGUUUUUCACUCAUGGGUUAGUUAACUCUCGUAAACUUUGUAUGGGAAGUGGGUUACAGCCAGUAAUUUGCCAUUUUCUGCUCAUGAAGUUGAUGAUUUCAGCAGCAACCUUAUAAUUUUGCAUUUGCAUUGGUGAUGGUCGAGUAGUGAUUUUGGUGUAGUGACCUAUGCUUGCCAGGCUAGGAUGUUUGCAUUAUCUGUGGCAUAUAUAUAUAUUGAAUUUUUUAUACAAGAAAAUAUCCUACAUGAGUUGGAAGUGAGGCCUCGUCAUUAAUUAGGUGGUGUUGCCUUUGCUUCUUGCUUGUGCUCAGCUAGAAAUUCUUACGUGGGUUUUGGUUAAUCAUAAAACAUAGCAGACCAGGUGCAUGUGUACCUUGGCUAUCUCUAUUAGCUUCCCGUGCAUGACUUAAUGGAAAAUAUCUUGCCCAAAUUUGGUGUAUGUAUACCAACACUCGUAUGGAGUGACAUCUAUUUGUACACUGGGACUCACCCCAUGAUGGUUUUGGCAUACUUACAUCAUUUUUAGACAAGAAUGGCACAAAGUCAUCAAUCUAUUUAAUUUCCAUUUAUAAUUUGAACAAAAUUAAUGUUAUUUACUAAUUUUUUUCGAUGAUAUGAUGAUGGUAAAUGGUUGAUGGCUGCAUGUCUCUCAUUAUCAAAUGUGUAUAAAUCAGUUUACACUUUUCAUACAUGUUGUAUUUGGAAAACUAGAGGGCAAUGCAUGUUCUGCUUUUGUUCUGAGAGUGGAGUGUUAAUAUUUUUGGUUAAUUAUGACCGUGUGAGAUGGAAGUUGUGAGACAAUGUGCUUAAAUCCUUUCUCAUACUGAGGUAGCGAGAAUUCAUUGAAAUUUCAAAUUCUUCUUAAGCCCAUCUAAAAUUCAAACACAACAUCAAUGUGAAAAAAGGUUAUGAACUCAGUCCAAUGGUUUCUUGUACGAUGAUGUGUGGUGUUAUGAGUUUAAUUUGGUUCAGUUUUGACCUUUUGCUUUUCACUUAAGCAGUAUAUAUAGAGUUUUUAAAGAUUCUGAAAACAAGAGAUACACAAUUGCCAAACUGGUCAAAAUCAAAUGGAGGGAGCAGCUUUCUAUGUUUAAAAUUUUUCUUUAUGCAAUGUUGCCCUCAUAAGUUGUGUGAACAUUUGAUGCCCUUUCCUUGAGCAUGCCAUAGCUUGCCAAAUGUCUAGUCCAGUCAUGGACCAUAUAAGUGAUAACUAAUCUUGAGGUCACCUGAUAUGGGAUAGUUUAUGAUUGAACUAGGUUGGCAAUUUGGUCUUGCUCAUUGCUAGAAAAGGCAUUUUGUUGAUUGAUUAAUCUCCGGUGUUCCUUAAAUCUGAAUUGUGAAGCAAGUGCAAUAAUGUGGAAGCCAUGAUUGGACUUCUCUCACUAGAAAAUUCUCUGAUCAUUUUGCAGAUUUUGGCUCCUCUUCCUAUUGGGUUCGCAGUGUUCUUGGUUCAUUUGGCAACCAUCCCCAUCACUGGAACUGGCAUUAACCCAGCCAGGAGCCUUGGAGCUGCUAUCAUCUUCAACAAAGACCACGCAUGGGAUGACCAUUGGGUUUUCUGGGUUGGGCCCUUCAUUGGAGCUGCCCUUGCUGCUGUGUACCACCAGAUAGUCAUCAGAGCUAUCCCUUUCAAGGCCAGAGCUUAAUGUUUUUACCAUCUUAUUCAUCAGAGGCCGCCUUUGAGUCUUAUCAAACACUUCUCCCUUGGUGUUCUCCUCUUCAUUUCUUUUGUUGUGUAUUUUUGUUUCUAUCCCUCCAUGUGAAUCUGGUAUUUGGAGUGUUAUCACGAGUGUAAAUUAUCUAGUGUUGCUGUAUUAUUGUGAUACCCACUGAAUGCAGAAAGCCCUUUUAUCUUUAAUCUUUGCUUUUUCCUAAGCAAAUCUUGUCCCAUAUAAUAAUGUCUGCCAAGUGCCAACCGUAGAGAAUAAUGGGUCUGAUGAAGUGGACUCCCCAUCCACUGUUGGGUACUUCCCGCCUGUUCCAACUUCAAUUAGCCAUUUUGACUCUUGAGACUUGACGGUGGCCGUCCUUCGUUAAACCUAAUUGCUAAACGCCUUCACACCGUUAAUUAUAUUUUGGUGGAUGACCAUAUUUGUUCACAUUAAAAAUUAAAGCCUUUUGGAUAUUUUACCACUUAAUUCAUUUUAAUUUUGACAAAAUUAAUCAAUACUUAA
rnacentral:misc_RNA from 1 species